rnacentral:rRNA from 1 species
UACAGAGGUCUCAAGCGUUGUUCGGAUUCAUUGGGCGUAAAGGGUGCGUAGGUGGCGCCGUAAGUCGGGUGUGAAAUUUCGGAGCUUAACUCCGAAACUGCAUUCGAUACUGCGGUGCUUGAGGACUGGAGAGGAGACUGGAAUUCACGGUGUAGCAGUGAAAUGCGUAGAUAUCGUGAGGAAGACCAGUGGCGAAGGCGGGUCUCUGGACAGUUCCUGACACUGAGGCACGAAGGCCAGGGGAGCAAACGGG